GUCAUCGUCGUCACCUGUCAAUUUUUUUUAUCAAAAACCCAAUAUUUUCUUGAUUUGUAAACUCAGAAUCAACAGGUACGGAUAAAGUUAUUUCCUUUUUUCUGUUUGUUUCCCAGGAAGGAAAAAAAAAAAAAACAGAGUACGAACCAUGUUCUGACUUGGAGCUUUGUUAUACAGUAAAUAAAAACAAGAUCUCUUCUGUUUAAAAAAAAAAACAAAACCCAGAUCAUUUUUUUGAUUAGGAAACGCAGAAUCAAUUAAUACGAAUCAAAUGGUUCAUUUCUCGCAUGAUUUUCUGUUUGUUUCCCGAGAAAAAGAAAAGAGAGGAGUUGGUUUUAAUUUACCUUUUUGCCACCGUCGAUGAGAACCGAGUUGCAGAGCUGGAGAAAAAGCUCCUUCUUGGAAGAGAACUCGAGAGGAGUCACCAACCUGGAGAGAAGUUCGUUACAAUCUGGCGGCAGAAACCUCUCCCAAACUAUAUCGGACUCCGCGGCCGACCUGAAGACUUCGGACGCCAUGGCUGAUCUGCAAGCAUCUCGUGGAGUGGUGAAGGAGAGAAUCGUGGCUAUACAACCUUCUGGUAACACGUUGCAGUCGGCCACUUCCAUUUUCUCCAUUCUAAAUCUUGAAAAAUAAUAUUAAUAACGGAGAAGAAAGAUAAGAAGAUGGAAUUUUUUAAGAACAAAAUCUUUGUUUAAAAGCUUCGUCGUGGUUUGAACGAGUUCUUGCCGAGUUGCAUUUAGACUACAAAUAUACGGAGAGGAUGCUCUUGGAAGUGACUUAAUCGUAUAUUAAUUAACAUCUACGCCCAAUAAUAAUCAUUAAAAAUUAUGAUUAUAUUAUGGUUAAUUAUAAUUAAGACUAAAACACAAUUAUUAUGGAUAAUGUAUAAUAUUAACUGAAAGUCAAAACCAGAUUAUGAAUUCAUUAGAUUUAUAAAACUCGUGCGUUUUAAAAUUCCAGAAGAGGAACUCUGCUUCCGGUUGCCGGUAAAACAUUCAAAUUUUAUUUCGUUGAAUUUAUUUUUUUAUCCAAUAAUUUAUAGAAUAUAAUCCUUCCUUUUUGAAAAAAAAAAAAAGAAUAUUCCCAACGUAAUUAUUUAUUGUUAAUUUUAUUUAUUUUUAAUUCACAUAAUAAUUAUUUUAAUUUUGUAAUAAUAAUUAAAUAAUUUCAAAUAUUAUUUAAAAUAAAUGUAAUUAUUUUUUAAAGUUAUGUGUUUAAGAUUAAUUAAUCAAUAUUAAUUUUUAAUUAUAAUUUAUAAUAUAUACUUUAAAAGUCAAUGUUCCAACUUACUAGCUUUACGCAAGUGGUCACGCGAUUUUGGACUUUCAUAUUCCCACUCCACAAUAAAUUUGGUAAAGAAACAUAUACGUACUUUUAAAAAUAUUAAUUUAAUGAGAUUUAAUUAAAUUAAUAAGUAUAUUAUUAAUACAUGAUUAGGUUAUAACACUUGGUAAUAUGCAAACUUUAUCUUAUGUUUGUAUAAAAAAUUUAAAUUAUGACCAAUAAGUUAUAUAACAUGCAACACGUUAAUUUUAAACAAAUUACCGAGACUUAAAUUUGAAUGAAAUAAUUUUAUAAUAUAAAAUUUGAAAUGAGAUCGGUAAUCACGCAAAGUAGGUAAAUAUAAAUUAAUCUAUAAUAAUAAUUAUUUUUGUAAUACAUACAAAUGAGACCCUAAUCAUGUAAUAUAUAAAUCACUAAAUUAUAACAUAAUGUAUAAAUAUAUGAUUAGGUUAUAACAUAUGAUAAAUAAUAAAUUUGAAAAAAAAAAUAUAAUUUAUCUAAUUUGAAAAUUAAUAAUUUUAUAUUGCUAAAUGGUAAAUAUAUUUAUAGAAAAUCAAUUAACCUUUAACGACGUCGUAUUUAUUUCAUCGAUGCGUGACACGUGUCGUUCUCAUAACCAAUCACCAAUUUCAGUUUCGCUUUGGCGCCUUAUCUUCCCUUCAAUUAACCGCUCUCAAAAUUUUUUGGUUUAAAAAAAAAUAUAUCAAAAGGAAACACAGAGAAGUUUCAAUUUUCCUCAAAAUUUUUCGUCUCUGAUCGGAACAAAUCCUCAAAUCAAAGCUUCUUUCACGUCAAUGGCUUUAACCCACAACCUGAAACCCCUCAUUUCACUCUCCUCUACCUUGUUCCCUCACUCUUCUUCGUCUCCAUCACCUCCAUUUUUACCGCAGAGAACUCAGAUUCAUUCACUCUCCUUCAUCACAAAAACCCAUAGUAAUCUUCCGCACCCAAUACCCAUCUUAUCAAGAAGACUGUUUCUUCCCUCAGUUUCCGCAAUCUGGGACGCUUUAACGGGCGGCAACAACAAUGACCGCGAAGCCGUGGUAGCAAUUCGACGCGGGAUGUUGUUAUUUAGGCAGGUAAAAGAAGAUGAAGAAGGCAAAGAUCUUUGCCAUUUUGUUUAAUUUCUACUUCCGUGUCUGUGUAAUAUUUCUUUCCUUCGUUUGUUUAAUUUUUUGCGUUUUGGGUUUUCAUCAGAUGACUGAGACGCAUUAAUGUUUUGUUGUUUGCAAGGGUGAUGUGUUGGGGUCUUUGUCGGAGUUCGAUAAGGCUAUCGAGAUAGACCCUCGGCAAAAGGCGUGUAGGUCUCUAUGACUUUCAUCAUUGAGUGGCUUAGAAAAAGGAUUAGGAGUGAGACUUAUUGGGUUAUAACUUUGAUUUUAAUGGUGACUGUGACAGAUCUUUGGCAAAGGGGGCUAUCACUCUACUAUCUUGAUAGGUAUUAAUACUUGCUUGAUUGCUUUGGUUUGGUUUGGUUUUAUUAGGUGAUUAUUACUUCAGCCAAAUACUUUAUUAAUUUGUUGUCUAUUGACUACUUCUUAUUUAUUAUUUUUUUUUCAAACCAUUUCUUCCCAGUAAAAAAGGAGUGAAAUUAUAAUUGUCAUGAGCAUCUAAGAUAGAUGUGGAAGAAUUUGAAGUGGGUUCUCCUUGUUUGUAGAUUUGAAGAAGGUGCUGAGCAGUUUAGAAUAGAUGUUGCACAGAACCCAAAUGAUACAGAGGAAUCAAUAUGGUGUUUUCUUUGUGAAGCCCAACUGUAUGGGGUUGAUGAAGCAAGAAACCGGUUUCUCGAGGCAAGUUUGUAGAAUUUAACAGGAAAAAGCCAUCAUCAAUGUAAAAUAAUUGAUUGUAGUUUAUUAUCAUAAGAAGGCUGGAUGAAUAGACGAUGAGUCAGAUUGAUUCUGGCGCAUGAUACGGUGGGUCUGUGCCAUGUUUCUAGCAUGUGGGACUGUGAGUGAGAGAAAAUGUUACAUUGUAAAUAAUAAAUUGAGUAAUUUCCUAUAAAUUUGAAGUUUUAGAAUAAUUGGGAGCAGUUAAUUAUUUGUACUGAAAACUUUCAGGAUGCGCAUAAGAAUAGAUAUAUGGCCAUCUCAGUCAAUGGCAGAACUUCUGAUUCACAAAAUAGCUACUCUUUGUGAUGUGGUCUAGCUAACUGUUUCUUGAAUAGACUUAACAAAUAACCAUGGAUCAUCAAACUUUAGUUUGAAUUCGAAUACCAAAUAAAACGCCUUUUGUGUUGCUGAAUAUUUUCUUUUUGGUUGCUAGCUGCGUGCAGGUUGGCAGAGAUCCCAGACCUGUAAUGAGGGAAGCUUAUAACAUGUUUAAAGAUGGUGGAGAUCCCGAACAGGUGUGACUUGACAUUGACACAGAAUAUUUUUUCUUUGUUGAGAUAAUGGAACGCGCUAAGGUCAAUGAAGCCUUCAUUCAUCUACGGUUCAUAAGAUAUUAUGGUGCCCAAGUGAACUGCCCUCAAUCAGGAUAUUGAGAAUAAAACUUUUCUGAAUUCAUGUUUGUACUAUAGGUUGCAUUUUGUUCAACUCUUAUUUAAUACUUUUCUGCCUGUUAUUGAACAAAAAUCGAUUCUUGCAACUGCUUCUACUGCACAGCUUGUUGCAGCAUUUUCCAGCCGCCAGGACGCAGAAUAUUUCUACGCAUCUUUGUAUGCCGGCCUUUAUCACGAAUCUCAGGUUGGUCCUCAACCUCGAGAUCUUAUUUCUUUCUCACUUCUUGCUGUAUACAAGAACCAUUGAUGCCUAAAAUUUUACACCUGUUUACCAAUGUUUUUCUGCACAGAGCAAACAAGAUUCUGCCAAGUUUCAUAUCCUUGCUGCAUGCCAGUCUCCUUAUGGACAAAGGUUCUAAAUUCUGAGUAUCUCCACCUUUUGGACUCAUAAAACUGUAUCAAACACAAAGUUGACAUGAAUCAUUCAUUUCAGGGCUGAUGAUUAUAUGGCUUCUCUUGCUAAAGUUCACUGUCUUUGUCGAAAUUGGAGCUCCAGUUAAAAUGUGCAGAGAUCAAAAGCUUGUUGAAGCUGGAUAAGUGUUGUUCUUGCUAGAAUCCGGGAUGUUCUUUAAUGGCUGCGGUGCAGUGACAUUGAGGUGAGUGGAUUUCAGCAAUGAAGGGAAACUGCAUGUACUAACCUAACCCAGUGGUAAGUGCAUCUGCAGAGUUGACAUUUUGCUGUCAACUAGGGAAGUUUUUUGUUUUAUCAUAGUUUAUGUUUUAUAUUGUUUGGUUUUUAAGUUGUAGGAAGCUUGUGUUAGUGAAUAAUCUUAUUUUGAUAUGUUUGUCUUUAAGAUAUUGAAUACUGCAUAGAAAAUCUGGAUUUGAGCCUCCAUUUUCCUCUCUUUUUCUCUCGUUUUUUCCCCUGGUUUUUCUAGUUUUUUCACUUGCGUUUCCAACAAGUAGUAUGAGAGCUUCAAGCUCUUUGAAGGACUGAGAAAGAGAAAGUUUUCUGCUGCAAAACUCGCCAAAAUCAUAGCUUGCUGAACAUGGCUUCAGGCAUUCAGGAAAUGUUUCUCCAUCCAUCUUUAAUGCAGAAAUCUAUUAAUUUUAGACUGUUAGAAUGAAGGCUUUUUGAAGGGGAUGGAUGGAUCUACGGGAGGCCGCUGAAGUUGUAGAGAUCCUCCUCCCUUAAGAGCAAACCAACAGUCACUCGAAUGAACCAUCGUGCGGAGGAAAUAGCAAAGAAAUUCAAGGUUCUUUCAUUCAUCAAUUCAGCUGUGUCUAAAACUAUUUUCAUCAGAAUCAUGUCUUAUGAGACCGGAAAGGAAGCUUGGUACAAAAUUUAAGAAGAGUUCCAGGGGAGUGAAAAAGCAAGGUAAAUGCAGGUACUGAAUUUGAGAAGAGAAUUUGAAGCGUUAAGGAUAAAUGAUGACAAAACAGUUAAAGAGUUCACUUACAAAGUAAUGAAGAUUAUGAAUCAAAUAAGGGUGAUGGGGAGGAACUCACAGACAAAAGAGUCUUGAAAAAAUUUUGGUGAGUCUGAGAGAAAAAUUUGAAGCAAAAAUCUCUUCCCUGGAAGAUUCAAAAGACUUCUCCACCACGUCUUUGAUAGAGCUUGUCAAUGCCUUGCAAGCUACUGAACAAAGGAGGUCUUUGAUGUUAAAUGAUGACGUGAAGGAAUUCUUGGCAAAAGGUGAAUUAAAGGCUCAAGUGGCUGAAAAUGUUACCGAACCAGCUCAAGCAAUCAAAUAUGGCUAUUUGAUAGUGGCUGCAGCCACCACAUGACACCAGAAGAAAGUUUCUUUCCUAGGCUGGACAGGUCAUAAAUUUCAAGAGUCAAGAUAGGCAAUGAAGAGUACUUGGAGGUGAAAGGAAAGGGAGAUGUAAACCUCGACAACUCCAUCAGUUACGAAAACUAUUUUUGAUGUGCUACUAGUGCCUAAGCUCGACCAGAACUUGUUGAAUGUUGGCCAAAUGAUUCGGAAAGGAUAUUUCCUUGAUUUUCAAGAAUGAAGCAUGCUCUAUAUUUGGUUGAAUACAAGUUUUUCUUUGCAUUGGAAUCAUGCUUGUGCUAGCGUAGGUUUGGUAGAUGAUGCCGAUGCAUGGCACAAGAGAUUUAGGCCUUGCAUUGUGCAAUCUCUCAAGGAAAGCAUUCUAUAUUUUACAGUAAUUCGAUGACAUUGUAUAUUUAUUACAUAAUAGCAUGCAGUAUUUGAUCUUGGGUUAGCAUAACAAAAUUCUCAGAGAUAAUGGUAGUGACAAACUAGAAAUAUAUAUAUGUGUGUGCAUGAAAAGGUGGCAGUUUUCAUCGAUAAUCAGUGGUUAAUUAUAUAAUUAAUUAGUUAAUUAUGUUUAAAUUUUUGUUUUAGAAGUUCAUUUGCAGCCACCUCCCUUUUCCUUUUUGUUGUGGGGGAUAUUCGUAUGUAGUCCUCAAAUUUGUCUGGUCCAUGAUUGGUUCUUCAAGCAUAUUCCGAGCACUUCAGAUAUGGCUCCUCAACAUAUUCUCCUUAAAGCAGAGGACAAAAUGAAGGAUAUUCUUGUCGCGGUUGAUUUGAUUCUGAGUUCGUGGACCCUGUAGCUGACUGUAUUUACCAAAAUACCCUCCACGCAAUUAGAUCCGUAUAAUACUAAUCUUCUAAAUUUAAUUGUAUUAGAAGUAAUUACAAGGCGUUUAAACACGAUAAUAAUUUUAAUUAAGGAGACAAAGAGUGUUUAGUAAUUUCUUGCGACCAAAAUAAGUUAACGUGAAUUUGAAAAUACUAUACUCCCGCGUCAGCGGGUUUCAUACAAUUUCUGUGCUACUCACUUCAAACAAUGCCACGAAUGCUAACAAAAAACCCUCUCGCGGUAAAACAAGUUGCUUUCAUGGGUAUAUCUGUGCGACCGCUGGUGACACGAUCAAUGAGUCUGCUUUCUUCCAUUUCCCGGUACACUUAAACGUCAAAAAGCCGGUACUCCGUUGACAGAGACAGGGAGAGAGUUUUUUUAAGGGACUUUUUUCCCCUCUCUUCUUCUGCAAAUUUCUUCAGACUUCAUGUCGACGGAGAGGCUUCUCGUUAAUGGCUUCGUUAAGUCGGACGCUCCAACGGCGGCGGCACCCGGUGUGUCUCCGCAGGGAUGGAUCUUCGAUGAAUUGCCGAUGGCUACAGUUGUAUCUGUGUCCGGAACCGACACCGCGGAUAUCAGCCCCAUGGUUCUCUCGUACACCUUUGAGUUGCAAUACAAGCAGGCACUCUCUCUGACACUGCGUCUGUAUGUGCAUGUAUACGUAUGUGUGCGUGUGUGUGUUACAUGUUUGAUUCUUCGUUGAUAUGCUGCAGUUCAAGUGGCGCUUAGCGAAUAAGGCCUCGCAAGUUCUCUAUCUACAUUUCGCUUUGAAGAAACGUGCAAUCAUCGAGGAAUUCCAUGAGAAGCAAGAGCAGGUUUGCUAUAACACUUUUUAUGUUAUUUUCAUUAUAGACUUUAUCCGACUUGGCUGUCUUCAUCAUUUUUAGCUGAAGUUUCCGUUCUUGUGUUGGCUUUUGCAAAUCAUUGCAACUCACUGAGGAUAUUAGUUUAAUGAACUUGUAAAUUUAUUCCGUGUUUGCUAUGAUUUAUCCUUCAAUUUUUCCAUUGAAAUAUUUGAUCGAAUUGAAGGUUAAAGAAUGGCUUCAAAGCUUUGGAGUAAUAGAUCACGCAGCAGUUGUUGAAGAUGAGGAUGAACCUGAUGAUGGGGCUAUUCCUCUACAUCAUGAAGAAAGUACUAGGACCAGGUGAUUGCCUCACGAUAUAUAACAGGACCUUGUGCCGGACAAGCCUCUGUUAUACCAUUAUGGUUCCAGGUCUUAAUUAUAAGUUGUUUCUGUUAUCUAGAUAUGUUCCAUCAGUUGCUGCUUUACCAAUUCUCCGCCCAUCUCUAGGAGGGAAACAGAGCGUCUGGGGAAGGGCAAAGGCAGAGAUGCAAGGUUAUCUAAAUCUCUUCCUGGGAAACUUGGACAUUGUAAAUUCUCGAGAGGUUAGAAUGGAAACUCAGGACAAAGUUCUUAAUAUUGUAAAUGCUAGGCUUUGAGCGCUUUCAACUUUCUUACUCAUGUUCCUCUACAGCACAGAGUUUCUUCCAUAUAUACAGGUCUAGAUAGCAAACUAAUAAAGAACGAAAUGGCUACAAAGUCAGGUCGAGACAAGGCAUGCUAUAAACUUGUCAUGAGACUCGCCGUAAACCAGCUUUCUUUAAUAUGAUUUUUGAAUUGCAGGUUUGCAAGUUUUUAGAGGUCUCAAAAUUGUCAUUUUCGGGGGAGUACGGUCCAAAGUUGAAGGAAGGUUAUGUCACGGUUGGGCAUCUAUCUCAAAUUUCUAACACUGACACUGAGAUAGGCUGUUGUCCAUGCCGUUGGCUCAGUUGUUGCAGUGACAAGUGGAUAAAGGUAAUCGAAGCUUCUUUUCCUCAUAAUUACAUAUUGCCAAAAAGUUUAUUCUUGCGGUGAUAAUUCAGAUUUAUGAGUCACAUAAGACAUUCCGAAAGCGGAAAUAAAGAUUUAUCUUAUGACCCUUUAAAUAACACCUACCCUCUCUAAAUGUUACUUGGUUACUGUUUGCUUACUAUUUGUUUGUGUUCUCUCCAACUGUACUUUAACCGCAUUUAGGUUUGGGCUGUUCUGAAACCCGGUUUCUUUGCCUUACUGGAAGAUCCUUUUGAGACAAAACUCUUAGACAUAAUUGUGUUUGAUGUCCAACAAUCCUCAAAUGGAAAAGAAGAAUCUCGAGUGUAUUUGGCAGAGCAGAUAAAGGAACGUAAUCCAUUGCAUUAUGCAUUUAAGGUAAGAUGUUUCCGUAUAUCUUUCUUAUACAAAAAUCAACUACUUCAAGAUUAGUGAAAUUGCUUCAACGAUUUAUUGAUUUUUUAGCAGUCUUUCAUAUAUUUAUAAUACCGUUGAACUAAAAUUCAAGGAACUUUCUAGUACUGGUUACAUAAUAUGAGAUUAGAUUGUUGAAGAAGAGGAUGAUCUGGUCUAUUCAGGCCCUACAUGCAGCAAUCAUACCAGAGGCAAAACAUUUCUUCUCUCAAAUUGCAUUAUUGCAUGCUCUAAACAAUGUCAUGAAGUAAACAAGGCAGCUAGGUUGGAGAUUAGAUCUACACAAUUUAACUUUGCACUAACCUGAGAUCCAUGUGACACAUGGUGUUGUAGGCAAAGGAGCAUGAAACUGUCAAGUUUUACAGUUUGACAAAGAAAUAUCCUUUUACCUUAAAGGAGAUAAUCACAAUGAAACGGGAUUUAUGUGUUGUAAAUGAUUAAUUAAUGUGAGUAGCAGUAGAUAUUACGUGUAUAAAUUAAAGUAUUUGCUGGAAGAAAAUUAGGUAGUAAGAGAAUUGAAAACGAAGAAGACAAGUUUAAGAAUUCAUAUGCAUCGGAUUAAAUGGAUAGGAUAAACUUUCUUUUCAUUUUGAUAUCACUUCCACGCUCAUUAAUUGCAUCUGAGCAGCUAUACUAUUUUCAUUAUUCUUCUUUUGUUUAAGUCUAACUCUGGAUAUGCAAAAAAGGUAUCUUGUGGAAAUCAGAGCUUUAAGUUAAGAACUUCCAGCAAAGGUAAAGUUAAACAAUGGAUUGCUGCGAUCAGUGAUGCCGGCUUAGGGCCUCUCGAAGGGUGGUGUCGUCCUCAUCGUUUCAGUUCCUUUGCUCCUCCAAGGGGUCUGACUGACGAUGGGAUUCAUGCUCAAUGGUAUAUAGAUGGGGAAGCAGCUUUUGAUGCAAUUGCUUCAGCCAUAGAGAACGCAAAGUUAGAGGUUCAUUUUACUCCAUGCUAGUGACUGAAUGUAUUCAAUAUGUGCCUGUACAUAUACAUUUUAAGAAUUAAUGAGAAUGUUGAUUACAGAUUUUCAUUACUGGCUGGUGGCUUUGCCCGGAGUUGUAUCUAAGACGCCCUUUUCAAAGCAAUUCUUCCUCUCGCUUGGAUAAGCUGCUUGAAGAAAAAGCAAAGCAGGGGGUGCAGGUUUGUUUCCAAAUAACAAUAAUCAUUCUGGAUAACAAACUCUAUACCUCUCCUGAUUAUUCAUUUAUUUUCUUCCCACGUCGAGGCCACUAGAAUAUCUCCUACGAAUUGCCAGCCACUGUUUUAAAUUAUUGCUUGUUUCCAUAGCCAAGCUUUUAUUCUUCUUUUGAGUGACCAUCAGGAUCAUUACAUUUAACUGGUACAAGAUGAUUUAGUUUGCUUCUUGUUUCCUAGACAUUCUUCGACUAGGAGAACAAAACCAAAGUGUUUACUUUUCUUUUGUAUCUUUUGUUAUUUCCCUUAUGAUCUAUAUUCUUGCUUUCAUAUUCAUGCUACAAAUUUGAUCGACUUUCAUAUAUUGAUCUUGCAGAUCUAUAUUCUUCUCUACAAGGAAGUUGCACUUGCUCUAAAAAUUAACAGUUUAUACAGUAAGAAUAGACUCCUUAAAAUUCAUGAGAAUGUGAGGGUACUGCGCUAUCCUGAUCAUCUCUCAACUGGGAUUUACUUAUGGUAUGUGAUGUCUGGGUUUUUUUGUUCCGUACUUUUGCAUUGGUUUCUUAUCUACUCUCAUCAACUACUUUCUCGUUAUAAACAGGUCACAUCAUGAAAAGCUUGUUAUUGUUGACCACCAGAUUUGCUUUAUUGGAGGCCUAGAUUUAUGCUUUGGACGGUAUGAUACAAUCGAACAUAAAGUUGGUGAUUGCCCCCCUGAUAUAUGGCCUGGGAAGGACUACUAUAAUCCGAGGUUUUCUCAUUUCUCCUGUGAAGAACAUAUUUUAAGGGAUACAAAUGUGAACUACACUCAUCUAGUAAUAUGUCCGUUGUAGGAAAUUUUUGGACAACCAUAUACUCCUCCAAGAUACUGCUCUAAUUUCUAGGGGAACAAGCACAUAAAUUCCAUUGACUGUAGAAAUCUUCAUUAAUGACAAAGGAUAUGAAAACAAUGGAUUUUGCAAUAUUGUUUAUAAAUCAAUUUGUGUACAGUUAUCAUUUUGAAUUUUUGAAUCAGUGAUUUCUAUGAACUUCUUAAUUCAUUUUAUUCACCUUUGUCUGACCAGAGAAUCUGAGCCAAACUCCUGGGAAGACACCAUGAUAGAUGAACUAGACCGUCAUAAAUAUCCACGUAUGCCAUGGCAUGACGUCCAUUGUGCUCUUUGGGGCCCACCCUGUCGUGAUGCUGCGAGGCACUUUGUUCAGCGAUGGAACCAUGCGAAGGUUGAUCUUCUACCAUUUAUAUGGUUGUAGUGUGGUUCUUGUUUCCACAAGGUUUGCUUUCUGAUGUAGUUGGAUUAUUUUUCUUUUGAUGAAGAGAAAUAAAGCUCCAAACGAACAAACUAUUCCACUACUUAUGCCUCGCCAUCACAUGGUCAUACCUCAUUACAUGGGAAGAGGCAGAGAGAUCAACAUUGAGAGCAAAAGCACCGAGGACGCUGGAAAAGAUGUGCGUGAACAGACUGCAUUUCCAAAGCAGUCACUAGUGCAGGAUAUCCCAUUUCUUCUGCCUCAGGAAGCAGAUGGUGCAGUUGUUAACUCUUCAGGGGCCAAGAAGUUAAAUGGCACAUGCACAAAACAUAAUCUUAUUGAUCAGCCAACUGGAAAUUGUGGAAAAUUUUCAUUUUCUUCACAGAAGUCUGAAACUGAAACCUUAGUCCAAGAUACACAGACAAAAAGGUUUGCAGAUGAUAUUGAUUUCUUGGAUCUCCAAAGUGAAACAAUUUUGAGUGUGGGGGCACAAACUAGGGUGAAACUUUCUGAUGAGGAAUGGGGAACAUCAGAUGAUGGAGAUCCCAUUCAUGAAACUGGGCAAGUUGGACCUUGCACUGCAUGCCACUGUCAGGUUAGCUAUUCCUUAUCAUUGCCGUUAGAAUACCUAGAAGCUUGUCUUAAGAAUUUGCAAAAUGCCAUGAAAUUGCUUCCAUCAGAAAGUAUAUUUGAAGAUGAGGCAUCCCAUCUUUAUUUUCCGUGUGAAAUGUGCAUCCUCCGCCUUCCAAUCCGAAAACUACUGAGAAAACUAAAUCUUAGCCUUUGAUCUGCUCCUAUCACCAUUGCUAAAGCUAGGGAAUAUACAAACCUAAAAACUAUACAAUUUCAUAGAAAUUAUAUCUAGGAACACAAACACAGACAUAGUAUGGACUCAUAGAAGAAGUGCGGGCCUAUGCUGUCAUGAUUCUAUCUGUUUAGUGCUCUGCAGAAUAGUUUUCUACAUGUAGCACAUAAGCAUAUUUUCCAUAAUAUUCAGGAUUCCACCAUCUCCUCUCUGUGCUCAUCUCAUUUUUUCUAUUUCUUGAAUGGAUGUAGAUUAUCAGAAGUGUCAGUCAGUGGUCUGCUGGAACAAGUCAAGUUGAAGAAAGCAUUCAUAAUGCUUACUGUUCUCUCAUUGAGAAGGCAGAACAUUUUAUUUACAUUGAGGUAAUUCAAAGGUUUAAAUGAUGUAGUAGUAUUCACCGUAAUCGCAAUCAGUCUUGAAAAUGAAAUGAAGUUCAAGUUAAAUUUUGAAUCCUUAUACUGACCAUCUAUUUCUGCUCGCUUUGGUUCUUGUCUUCCAGAAUCAGUUUUUCAUAUCUGGUCAUUCAGGAGAUGAGAUCAUACAGAAUCGUGUCCUGGAAGCAUUAUACAAACGUAUUUUACUGGCUCACAAAGAGCAAGAAUGCUUCCGAGUCAUUGUUGUCCUACCACUCAUACCUGGGUUCCAGGUAUUGUUUUUCUUCUUAAGUGCUCUAAUUUUUUCAAAAGAAAAAAGAAAAAAAGGAACUAACUAGUCUUAGUUUUACAACGGUGUUUGUUGACAGGGGGGAAUAGAUGAUGGCGAUGCAGCUACUGUUAGAGCCAUUAUGCAUUGGCAGUAUCGGACAAUAUCUAGAGAAAAAACCUCUAUCCUGCAUAAUCUCAAUGCUCUGCUUGGCUCUAAAUCACAAGAUUACAUCUCUUUUUAUGGUUUGAGAUCAUAUGGUAGACUUUUUGAUGGCGGUCCUGUUGCCACAAGUCAGGUAUAUACCAUCUUGAUUUGUGUUUGGCCUUUCCUAAAGUGAAGGCUUCCUUAACUUACGAAGUGCUAAAACAGCAAAGAACAAUUGUGAAAUGUAAUUGACGCUACUUUAGGUGGAAAAUUUUCAAUAUCUUCUUCUGAUAAUAGAGUACACCUUGGAUACUUCUAGAUAGAACUCCAGUGUUGCUGUUCUGCAGAUACAAAAAACAUAAUAUAUUUACUAAUGCACAUCAUCCGUGUUCACAUAGGUUUAUGUGCAUAGCAAAUUGAUGAUCGUGGAUGAUCGUGUCACCUUGAUUGGAUCAUCUAAUAUAAAUGACAGGAGCUUGCUUGGUUCAAGAGAUUCUGAGGUAUUAAUUUCAGCUAAACUUUGAAAUACAUACACCUUCAUUUGUAUCUGUGCUUUCCGUCGUGUUUGAAACAACUUUGAAGGCAUGCAUAUUAGCUAAGCAUUUCCGUCCAAUCAACUCUUCUGGAUGAAGUUUGUCUCCUUAUGAAAGGUUGAUUUUGUAGCGUCUGUCUUGUGAAGAUAAAAUAUAAAAAAAGAAGGUACAAGGAUUAAUAUUUAAUACACUCCAAUACUGCUCUUUCAGAUUGGUGUUGUAAUUGAAGACAAGGAAUUCACUGAAUCAUCCAUGAACGGAAAGCCUUGGAAAGCUGGAAAAUUUGCUUACAGUCUCCGGAGCUCUCUGUGGUCGGAGCAUCUUGGUCUUCAACCAGGAGAUGUUAGUAAUGUUGGCUUGUUAAUCUUUAGAAUCUUUUUGCAUCAUUUUUCAAUAUCAUUCAUGCUAUCUUAAAAAAACCAGUGAUACCAUAAAUUCUCAUCUUUCCUUCAGAUUAAUCGGAUCAUUGAUCCUGUAAGAGAUAGCACCUAUAAGGACUUAUGGUUAGCAGCUGCCCAGGUGAGAAGCUUAUGUUGAGUACAAAAAGUCUUGCCUUUUUGUGUUUGUUGUUAAAAAAUAGAUGUGACUAAUUUUACAGAAAAUUUAAAUUGAUAUAAAAUCGUUCAUGAUAUUAUUAGUAUAUUAACACCCCUCACAUACAAGCCCGUUUGGGCUUAACGAGUGCUGAAAUCCUGAAACUUAAGAGUUCAACAUACUUCGAAUAUUAAUGUGGUUAUUUGUGUGCUUGCACCAUAAAUUCGAGGCUUCAGUGCUUCAAAAAUCAUGUGGUUAUGUGUCUCCCCAUGUCAUAAAAGUCAGUCUGUGUUUAGUUUUAUGUUCUAUUAUGUUUAUUCUCUUUCAUGUUCCUCCUAAAAGAAUUCUAUAAUAUUCUUACAGGCGAAUACCAAGGUUUACCAAGAUGUAUUUGGUUGCAUACCCAAUGAACUCAUUCACUCAAGGUACACUCAUGCCAUGACUAUAUGUUCCUUUCUUCCUCGCACAACAAUCUUUUCCUCUCAUUUGACAUAAAUGUGUAUAUAUAUAUAUAUAUUCAUCAAUUGCAGAGCUGCUCUAAGACAAAGCACAUCGCAUUGGAAAGAGAAACUCGGAUACACAACCAUUGAUCUUACUAUAGCUCCAGAGAGAGUAGAGUUCUGCGAGAAUGGUGAAAGUAAGACAAUGGACCCAAUGGAGAGGUUGAAAUCUAUCAGGGGACAUCUCGUUUCUUUCCCUUUAAAUUUCAUGUGCCAAGAAGAUUUAAGACCAAUGUUCAAUGAGGGUGAGUUCUAUGUACUCCCCCAAGUAUUCCAUUGAAUUUAUAGAAAACUAAUGUAAAUAGGCAAAAAAAUAUACGACCAGAUUUAUGUAAUUGUUUAUUGUAAGACAAAAAGAAACGAAAAAUUUAGAGUUGAGUUCUUGCGUAAUGCCUCUCCAAAGUCCAUACCCAGUUGUGGUUAAAUAACUUGUCAAGCGGGAAUGCAGCAGGCCUAACGUAUCAGUGCUCGGGCUCCGGGCCAUCACCGACGAGUCACCUUCAAACCCUUUGACAAGACGGGUUAGCUUUUUCUCUUUUUCGCCUUUAAAAUGUUCCUCUUUUUCUCUUCCAUCGAGAUGUGGGAUUUGACAAUAACCAUUGAAUUUGCCAUUUUGCUCUGCACUUUUUCCACGGUCUCCCUUAUCACCCUCCUCGCAUGUGCUUGUUCAUGUGAUAAUACGCAAAAAUCAGAUUGUACAUCACGAACCCGGUGUACGUGGUACAUUCCACAUCUCUGUCUUCCACCACCUUGUCAAAUUAAUUUGUCUCUCACCUUUUUCUUUUCUUUCAAAGUAAACGAAAAAUAUAGUUUUGUGAUAAUUUAAAGUUACAUAAUUGAUUUGAAGUAUUAAGAUUUUAAUUGGUAAAUUAUAAUUAUAAAAGAAUAUGUUGUUUAAAUAACGAUACGUAUGCGUGCAUCGAAUAACUAGUAUUUAUAAAUUAAUAUCGUAAGCGUCGGAUUUAACUUAGCGUGUAACAUUUUUUUUUUUCGUAAGAAUGAUGUUGCGAUAUUAACGAAUCAACUAUUCCUUCAAAGAAAAAAUUGUUUCCGCAUGGAUUAGGAGAUGGGUUGACCUCAAUUCUAAGCCAGAGAUUUGAAAGUGGUUGACAAUUGACAUGAAUUAACAAAAUUAUGUAAUGUCUUGUUCAAAAAAGUCAAUUGAUUUUUGUAAGUUCUCCGUAAGGUCUUGGGUUUUAGUUAAUUUAAUUAAGGAAAUUAGAACAAUAAUUUGGGUGGGAGCUUAUUUAUGGUUUAUAACUAUUUUUAAAGACCCUUAUUAAUUUAAUCAGCUGAUGAUAUAACAAUACAUAAUUAUUAAUUAUGUAUUAAUAAUUAAUACAUUGAACUCCUGCUUGAAUGGAGUAAUUUGCUGGAUCAGCCCUUCCAAGUCCUGCUUGAUGGGUGGGUGGUUCACGGGAUUUCGAGCUGUUUCCCUCUCAACAAACCUAAAGCCUACCCAAUUGUAUGGAACUGAACCGGACCCAGCUUGAACCAGUUGCCUUGACAACAGCAAACCUGCUCAAAUUCCUUAUCGACUAGUUUCAUGCCUUCAGCACUAGAUAGUGUGAAGUGCCUUACGUCGCGACCUACUCGGAAUGAGAAUUACAAUAAACAAGAGAGGCAGUCAGUCAACUUUUGCCUCGUUUUACAUCAGCGUACUGGCUAUUUAGGACUCGUAAUGGGAUGAACUUGUUGGGAUACAGGGGAAGGGUGAAAGAAGAGGCAAACGGCUGAGAUAUCAUCCAUGGCAAUUCCCCGUCUCUUCCGUUUCCAUGCCCGGACUGCGUGCUCAACCAAACAUUUCGCAGACCUUGCCCUGUCCGGAGUCGAAGAUACCAUCUCUAUUGCUUCUUGAUUCGAAACGACAUCCCAAACCUACAAGCCAAAACCAAUCAAACUAAUUUCAUAUCUCUUUCGGCAAUUGGCAAUUUUGCCUUUGGUUUAUUGUAAAAAGUGACGGCCUACCCCAUCAGUUGCCAACACGACGAAUUGAUCUCUGCUAGUUAUGUGCCUUUGCGUAACUAGUGGCUCGGAGAUAAGUCCGUAACCUUUUACGCAAUAAUCACCAAAAGCUCUAGACAUUGCCAGUCCCGGCGACUCCUCGUCAGGCAGCCACAACCUGUGAACGCCUGGCUCGUCUUCUAAGCAGAAAACUCGUCCUCUACACUCGAUUAUCCUCUCUGCCUCCUCUGCUAAAACAACAUAAUAUAUAACCACUUUGGUUUUCGUUACAGAAACAAAACAGUAUACUAACCAGGUAAAUUUGGCUUCAAAUCUACUGUCAGCUGCACUGAUUCCAGCAUUCCAUCUUCCGAAGUGGUGGCUAAAACAGCACGAGAGUCACCAACAUUCGCUAUGUAGAUCAGCUCACCCUGCCAAACCAAACCCGAAAUUAGGAUUACCAUACAAAGUUAAUUGUGUAAUAUAAGCUCCGAGUCAUCAAUACCUUCUGGUUUUCAAAUGAAGAAGUUCCAAGUACCUGUCUGACUAUUGUCAAGGCAGUUGUUCCGCUGUAAAACGAAUCAAUUUUUCGAUACUGCUCGAGUUCUUGAUCGACGAGAGCACACGUUUUUAAAUACGAAUGUUUCCAUAUAUUAAACCUCUGAUGCUUCUUAUCUGAUUCCAAAUCAAUAUCCGGAUCAAGCCAACGUUGAGAAACACUUUCUUGCCAACUACAUAGCAAAAACGAAGGCAUCGAUUCCCUGACUUUUUUUGCCACAAAAUGACCCCACGGACCAUGGCCGUCGAAAAUUCCACAGAAAAUCAUGUCUUCUUGACAUCCGAAUUCCUACUCACACAAAGAAAAACAUUCUCAGUCUAAAUCCGAAACCAAUGUUCAUUUUCACUACAUUCUAAUCAACCAUAUUACCUACUGUUAUAUUUGCUCUAUCCACAUAUAUACACACAUAUAUAUAUACCUCCCACACAAUGGCACAAUCCUGGUUGGCUCCUUUGUUGCCUUGCUUGGAGAAAAUUGAGGCAAAAUUGUUAGAACCAUCCACGUUGACGCAGCCAGAUGAUCGCAAAAUCAACUCGUUCUUCUUGGCUUCUUUAGCCAUGGCUUCCACAGCUUCCCUUCCAUCUCCAUUCCCAUUAUUACUUUUCGAUUUUCUUAUCGAAAAAGACCUUGCCAAUCCAUUGAACACGGAAGACAAGUGCCCCAUUGUUUCAAAAACUCAAGUAAAGGUUUAAGCUUUUUUCCUUUUGCAAGUUCAAAAUCUGAAAACUGAAAAACUUAUAAAUAAUCAGAAUAUGUUUCCAUAUGGGGAAAAGAUGACAAGAAGCAGAAAACAUUAUGAAGUUGUCAAAGAAGCAAGUGGGUCUAUUAUUUACAAAUUUUCUUGCUUUUUUUCCUGAGAAACAAACGGUAUGGUAGUGAUACUGUUAAGAGGGAAAAACGACAUUUUAUCUGAGUCAGAAAGGUAGAAUCCUAAGAAUUUAAUAACAGUAAAAAAAACAAAAAAAACAAAGAGAAAAAUUUGAAUCUGAAAGACAUCACGGGGAAUAUCCAUAUUCAGAAUGACAUGGAAUUCCAAUAUCAGAUCUACGAUCAUGUAGAAUAGGUGAGAAGAUAAAAUAAACAAAACCAUUUUCACGCUGUUUCCCAGAAUUGUCUGUUUGAUUCUCGAGAAAAAGUUCGGUAACAGGGUUAGAAUAAUUUUUUAAAAGAAAAUGACAGAGAAAAACCCAACUAACUUGACCUACUACAACAACUGGGCUUAACACGGUUUGUAGAGCUGAAAUUUUGCACAUCUGGGAAUGAAUCAAACCAGGUAACACAGGUAGAAUCCGAAACUUUUUUCUCUUUUCUCCUCUGUUCCAGUUACUCAGAAACUGAAAGGGGGAUGACCCUUUUGCUUGUUUGCCCAGAAAAUGAAAAGAAAACUAAACAGAAACAAGAGUUAUUACUCGAAAUAUGAAACGGACUGCAAUCAAAUGAUCGGAAUCGUUCUCAAAUUCAUACAGACUAUUCUUCGUUUAUUUUCUAAUCUUCCUAUAUAUGCAGUAAUCCCAGAACAAGAUCAUGCUCUGUUUUUUAGCUGAUAAAAAUGAAAGAAAGAGAGAAAAAGCAAUUAAACAGCGAAAGAUAGAAUUUUUGUUGGUUUAUUAUAUUAACUGAACGAGACACGCUCCCUAGUAUUUAUUCAUCAUACAUAAAUUGAAAUCUUAAAGAGUAAACUCCAAAAAGAAGAAAUGAGUGAAAUGAUAUUUUCUCGUCUUUUCUCCUCUAUUAUUUUCUCAGCGACCAAACAGGUUCUGCGAAUUAUUUCAAACCAGACAAAAAAAACAAACCCCAAAAUGAACCCCAGAAGGAAAAAAUUUAAAAAGAUCCCCCGAUAAGGAAAAGAAAAAAAAAAACAGAAAACCUGCAAAAGGAAAAAACUGAAAGCCUCCUUUGCGUAGACUCUCCAUUAACCAAACAGACGAGCUGUGCAUUAAAAAAAAAAAAUUAAAAGGUGAGCAAAAAGUAGAAACCUUUUUAAGUUUUCAGGUAAAUUUCUGGUCGAGUAAUAGCGUGUAUAAUCAGAGAAACGCAGGAAGCUGAUACGUGCAGUGGGAAGCUGACAUCACGUGCCGGGAACUGACGUAAUACCCACCUGAAAAUGAGCUGAAAAAACUAGAGAAGGAGAUCACCGGCGAUGGUCUGCAAUCCAUUUAAGUGAAAGAAAACAAAACAAAACAGAAAAAAAAAAAAGAAGAAAAAUGGAAUUUUGUUGUGUGGUGGGUUUGAUUUUCCUCCUUUUUAUCAGAUCAGAUGAUAAGAAAGGAAGGAGAAGAAAAC
rnacentral:lncRNA from 1 species